rnacentral:rRNA from 1 species
AGCGAACGCUGGCGGCAGGCUUAACACAUGCAAGUCGAACGCAUCCUUCGGGGUGAGUGGCAGACGGGUGAGUAACACGUUGGAACGUACCCUUCGAUCUGGGAUAACUUCGGGAAACUGGAGCUAAUACCGGAUACGCCCUUUUGGGGAAAGGUUUACUGUCGAAGGAUCGGCCCGCGUCUGAUUAGCUAGUUGGUGGGGUAACGGCCUACCAAGGCGACGAUCAGUAGCUGGUCUGAGAGGAUGAUCAGCCACACUGGGACUGAGACACGGCCCAGACUACUACGGGAGGCAGAAGAGGGGAAUAUUGGAAAAUGGGCGAAAGCCUGAGCCAGCCAUGCCGCGAGAGUGAUGAAGGCCUUAGGGUAGUAAAGCUCUUUUGUCCGGGAAGAUAAUGACGGUACCGGAAGAAUAAGCCACGGCUAACUUCGUG